UUAUCUUUCAACGUGCUAUGCUUGCUCUGCUGCCGGUUAUAAAGUUCUGGCUGGUAUUGGCUUACGCGAGCUUCGUCCUCUCGUUAUGUGCCGUAGUUCUUCCUGGUUUGGGUUUCAUCAUUUCAUCCUAAUAUAGUGCUGUCUGGAGGAUCAAUGAUGUUUAGGGAUUUCCACAGAAGAUUAUAGCGUGACAUAAAGAAGAUUGUCGAUGCUCGGAUCCUUGUAUCUGAUGGUCGAGUGUUAUAGUCUUCUUAACAAUAAAAAGAGUAUAUAAAAAAGGAUGGUAAAAUCACAUCCGACAAGAUUACCACAAGAGAAUGCAUCAACGGGCUACACCUUAAAAAAUGCUUCAAGAUGCAAGGAACAUAACUCAAGCAAUGAAGCUAGGAGCACUUGGUGCUCCAGCUUAUCAAGCCUUUUCACUGAAAGACAUUGAGGAUGCAACUAAUAAUUUUGAUACAUCAACUUUUGUCCUUGAAGGAUCUUACAGUCAGAUGUAUAUAGGGAAGCUGAAGGAUGGUUCCCUGAUUGCUAUUAGGUGCCUUAAAAUAAAUAAAAACACAAGAAUCAUAGCUUUAUGAACCAUAUAGAAAUUAAAUCAAAAUUAAGACAUCAACAUUUGGUCAGUGGUCUUGGGCACUGCUUUGAUUAUUGCUUGGAUGACUCCAUUCUCAGCAGAAAAUUUCCUGUAUUUGAAUAUGAGCAAAAUGGGGCGCUAAGGGGCUGGAUAUCUGGAGGUGAUGAAGAAUGCACUGGCAGAACAUGAAGCAACUGUAGGAGUAAUUUAGUACAGAGAAAUCCAAGCAUUCAAUGUUUGCUUGGUUUUUAGUUUUCCCUUGGCGAACAUAAAAGUGUAACUUUCAAGGUCUGGGGCAAGGUGAUAAGAUGGUCAGUAAGUUGUCUAAUUUGGUUCGCCCAAUGAAGAGAAACAAGUAGAUGUUCAUUAGGUUAUGAUAUGAGACCAUUAUAUCUUGUUUUGUAUUACUUAUUAAGUCUUUUUGAUCUUCUUAAGAUGAUGGAUAAGUUAGUGUGCAUUUAUAUAUGUACCUAGAGCUCUUUGUAAUUCUGCGGAAGCAAAGUAGGCAAAUGUUACUGUGGAAAAAAUAUGGUUAGACUAGUAUCUAAAUUUUAACCAGAAGCGUUGCUAGAACAUGCCCGUGCCUCGCACGGGCUAUAAAGCUAGUUAUUAAUAUAUUUUACGCACUAAUUUUCUAACAAGAUACAGCAGCAGGUUCUUCUUCAUCAGGAUUGGAGGGGUCUAAAGGUGAAAGAGGAUAUGGUGGUCGAUAGUUGAUACCAGAUUACCAGUUAUGCUCAAUUCUCUAACAACAAAGUUUAGACAAUAAGCACAGAAAAUAUGAGCAAAGUUUAGUACCCGGUAUCACGUGGGUCAUUUUAUGGCCCUAUGUCCAUGUAUGAAAUUGUGAGAAUCCGGAAACAACGAUAACAUGUAAUCAAUGAAAUCGCGAUCCUCUUUUAUGAUUGGGGCACAAACUCAUGAAAUAGUCCAAACUCCUUCCUUGCACAUCCAGCCAUUCAGUACAGCAAUCAUUGGGCAAUACUACUAUAGCAAUCAUUUGUAUGAUUACAUUGAUGAUCGGUUGUUGCAGUUAAUCAGGCAUGUCAAACUUGGAUUAAUCUAUUGUCCCAUUCUGGCAGCAUACUCCUUAAUGCAUGUAGUCAGCUCCGAGGCUCUCAUUGCCUCGGAGCUUCAAGUAACCACUAUCAAGUUUCCAGUAUUACUUGACCACAUACAUCUACUACUAGUCAGGGUUGGAACUGUCAUGUUUUUGUGAGUUUCAAAGGCAAGGAUACUCGCAACCCCUUUACAGGCCAUCUCAUUGCAGACAGACGAGGAUGAAUUACCUAGAGGUGAAGAAAUAUCACCACGGCUAUGGAAAGCAAUGCACGGAUCAAGUAUUUGUAUCUGUAUACUUGUUUUCUCAAACAACUACGCUUCAUCAAGCUUGUGGAAAUUCUUGAUUGCCAGAAACAUUGUGUGUCCUAUAUCCUAUCAUGUGAAUCCUUUGCAUUUACGUUAUCAGAGGGGAAGUUUCGCAGAUAUUUUUGCAAGGUGAUAUUCAUAUCGACAAUGGAGAAGCAAAAGAUAAAAACUUGGCAAUUUGCACUAUCUGAAGCAGCUGAUCUAUCAGGAUU